rnacentral:rRNA from 1 species
UACGAAGGGGGCUAGCGUUGUUCGGAAUUACUGGGCGUAAAGCGCGCGCAGGCGGCUAUCCAAGUCAGUGGUGAAAGCCCGGAGCUCAACUCCGGAACUGCCAUUGAUACUGAGGGUCUUGAGUUCGGGAGAGGUGAGUGGAACUGCGAGUGUAGAGGUGAAAUUCGUAGAUAUUCGCAAGAACACCAGUGGCGAAGGCGGCUCACUGGCCCGAUACUGACGCUGAGGUGCGAAAGCGUGGGGAGCGAACAGG